GAGGGGACUUGCCAAGCACAAAGGCAAGAAGAUGUGAGUGCUGAGCCAAGCCAUCACUAGCCUGUCUCAUCACUUGGUGAGCUGAGCAGUACAGUGGUGCCGGCCGGACCCAGCUGCUGGGGGAUGACUACCUAAUGUCACAAUGGUCUCCAAGCUGCGAGUCGCAAGGCCUCUCCGCUCCCAAUGAGAACAGAAGACUGAGGGCCCAGACCAAGGCCUUGUUGGUGCUGAUGGAAGUGCCAGUGACUUUUAAACCCCUGUGGAGAGUGAGUUGGAGUAGGAAGCCAGCAGACCUAGGGAGAUACUGAAACGCCAGGAGAGACCGUUCCCAUGCACUGCCCACCUCCCCCACUGGGACACUGGGUGUCUAGUGGCCUGGCUGCUACCUUGAACAGCAAGGGGAAGAACAGAGGGCCAAGAGAACCAAGGGGAUCCCAGGAUGCUCAGUUCUGGAAGAUGCCCAUCACUGUGGUCUUCCUCUGGGAUGGGUGGCAUUGGUCCUGAUGCUGUGCUGACAGCUGACAGAAGAGAGGAAAAACAAAGCAUCAAUUGUCAGUGUGAAUUGAAUUUCAAUCCUCAAAAAAUUUGAGGAGAGAAUGGACUACAACUUUCAAAGCUGACAGAAUGUUCGAGUAGGAGGGGACCCAUGGCACACCAGCUUGUACUUUUACCAGAAAGAAAAAGAAAACAACAAAAAACAAGGCCCAGAGAGGAAUGUGUCUUCCCCAAGGUCACAGAGCAAGCACGUGGUGGCAUUGGUCACUUGGGUGUUCCGACCAAGGCCAGAAGAAUCUUCAUCUGUGGUUGGAAGAAACAAUAAACAGCUUGUGUUUGACUUUUGAAAUCAUGCUGACACUAAAGUUCACUCCACAGAGUGCUUCGUCAUCUUCCCUAACACCUCACUGGACUUAACAUGGACCGUGCCAGUUUUUGGGGGUGUCUGAAGGCACCCUGUUUUCUAGGGUAGAAGUUGGAUUUAUUGAGCAAUAAGAAGGUAGUCUGGGGCUUCUAGGGACCUCUGCCCUUGUCUUUGCGUAUGAGGCAGCAUCCUGGGCUCCCAUUCAUGCUUUCUACAGGUCAUUCUGCACACACCACGUUUAGUGUGCAACUACUGUGUACCAGGAGUUCUGUGACGAACAAAGCAGAUGAGUUCUACCUGUAAGGGAGAGAGUGAGAAUGAGAACACAGGAUCAUGUCACAGAGAGGACACACAGGAUCACGUCACAGAGAGGAGAGGGCAUGGAGAAGGUUGCAAUUCAGAAGUUAGGGGGCACUCCCUGGGCAGAGACUUUCGUGGGUGGGCGUGCAGGUCAUGAGGACAGUGGAAACACAUGUGUUGUUACUCAGAAGGCAAGCGUGACUGCA